GGUGGGUCUCCAUCUGCUGGCAGCACCCCACAACUCCCAGCAGCUGAGGAUGGCGAAGCUGGAUAAGGUUUACUGAGGGGGCCCUGCCUUAUCAGUCUCCCCCACAUGCCUGAUAAGCCUCUUACCCGUGGGCUAGCUCAGGGAGCAGGCCAGGAGCAGGCUGGAAGAGGGGAAAGGGUCAGCUGGGGCUGGCUGAGCUCCAGGGCAGACAGCCAGGGCAGGGAGUCCUGGCAGAGCCCCAGAAAGGGGGUGGGAGGGGUCCCCAAGACAGACAUGGCCGCCUGCAUUCUUAUCCCAGGACUUCCAUUUGAUAGCCAGGAUUUCUUCCAGUGUCCCACACUGACAUCUUGGAGCCCUGGUGCCCUCUGGUGACAAAAUCCAUCCAUGGCAGUUACAGCCUAUCCUUAGGGCACAUCUGUCUUUACACCUUCCUCACAUCAUGUUUCCAAGAUAUUGUGAAGCUCAGUUUCCUUCACAUCUUGCAACCAAAACCAUUUACUGCAACAGACUGAGUACAAAAGCAGGUAUGAGAAUCAGUAUGAAUCAACAUGAAUAUCAACAGAUAAA